GCAAACUUGGUCAUUUAGAGGAAGUAAAAGUCGUAACAAGGUUUCCGUAGGUGAACCUGCGGAAGGAUCAUUAAAAAAAUGAAGCUGGCCCCAAAAGGCCAGCAUCAUAAUCCUUAACACCUAUGUGCACUUAUUGAACCUUUUUGCUUUGGCAGGAUUUUUUUUCCUGCCAGAGGUAUCCCAUCCAAACCUGAUUGUUUUGACUGACCUUAUAAAAAUAAAAUGAAUACAACUUUCAACAACGGAUCUCUUGGCUCUCGCAUCGAUGAAGAACGCAGC
rnacentral:misc_RNA from 1 species